rnacentral:rRNA from 1 species
CUUGAGUUUGAUCCUGGCUCAGGAUGAACGCUAGCUACAGGCUUAACACAUGCAAGUCGAGGGGAAACGACAUCGAAAGCUUGCUUUUGAUGGGCGUCGACCGGCGCACGGGUGAGUAACGCGUAUCCAACCUGCCCACCACUUGGGGAUAACCUUGCGGAAGUAAGACUAAUACCCAAUGACGUCUCUAGAAGGCAUCUGAAAGAGAUUAAAGAUUUAUCGGUGAUGGAUGGGGAUGCGUCUGAUUAGCUUGUUGGCGGGGUAACGGCCCACCAAGGCUACGAUCAGUAGGGGUUCUGAGAGGAAGGUCCCCCACAUUGGAACUGAGACACGGUCCAAACUCCUACGGGAGGCAGCAGUGAGGAAUAUUGGUCAAUGGACGAGAGUCUGAACCAGCCAAGUAGCGUGCAGGAUGACGGCCCUAUGGGUUGUAAACUGCUUUUAUAAGGGAAUAAAGUGAGUCUCGUGAGACUUUUUGCAUGUACCUUAUGAAUAAGGACCGGCUAAUUCCGUGCCAGCAGCCGCGGUAAUACGGAAGGUCCGGGCGUUAUCCGGAUUUAUUGGGUUUAAAGGGAGCGUAGGCCGGAGAUUAAGCGUGUUGUGAAAUGUAGAUGCUCAACAUCUGCACUGCAGCGCGAACUGGUUUCCUUGAGUACGCACAAAGUGGGCGGAAUUCGUGGUGUAGCGGUGAAAUGCUUAGAUAUCACGAAGAACUCCGAUUGCGAAGGCAGCUCACUGGAGCGCAACUGACGCUGAAGCUCGAAAGUGCGGGUAUCGAACAGGAUUAGAUACCCUGGUAGUCCGCACGGUAAACGAUGGAUGCCCGCUGUUGGUCUGAAUAGGUCAGCGGCCAAGCGAAAGCAUUAAGCAUCCCACCUGGGGAGUACGCCGGCAA